GACGAACGCUGGCGGCGUGCUUAACACAUGCAAGUCGAACGGAAAGGCCCUGCUUUGGUGGGGUGCUCGAGUGGCGAACGGGUGAGUAACACGUGAGUAACCUGCCCUUGACUUUGGGAUAACUUCAGGAAACUGGGGCUAAUACCGGAUAGGAGCUCCUGCUGCAUGGUGGGGGUUGGAAAGUUUCGGCGGUUGGGGAUGGACUCGCGGCUUAUCAGCUUGUUGGUGGGGUAGUGGAUUACCAAGGCUUUGACGGGUAGCCGGCCUGAGAGGGUGACCGGCCACAUUGGGACUGAGCUACGGCCCAGACUACUACGGGAGGCAGCAGUGGGGAAUAUUGCACAAUGGGCGGAAGCCUGAUGCAGCAAAGCCGCGUGCGGGAUGACGGCAUUCGGGUUGUAAACCGCUUUCGCCUGUGACGAAGCGUGAGUGACGGUAAUGGGUAAAGAAGCACCGGCUAACUACGUG
rnacentral:rRNA from 1 species